AAAACAAGCGCCUGUCAAGUGGAGGACAGUGCCUCUCUAGCUCUUCUUUCCUUGAAAGAUCUAAUUUUGGCAUCAACUCUUUAACAUAAGAAAUGUCAUGACAGGGGAUAUACUCAUUAAAUUUCAGAGGACAUACAUUUAUCCCAGUUUCAGGGAUAGUGAGAGGUACCACCCGAUAAGAAAGAGCAAUCUUGUUCCUGAACUUCAGAAUACCAGAGGAUGACUCUGA
rnacentral:misc_RNA from 1 species